CACAUCAGACGGACUGGAGCUUAACAAUCUCCCAACCCCCACUCAAUUUGAGGUAAAAGCUUCUCCUUUGAAGAAGGUAGCAAUCCCACAUGAAAGAAAAUGGAAGAUGUUUGCCUUUGUCCAAGAGAGCAAUUUGAGCAGCUACAUUUACUUGUGUGAUUAGUUCUUUUAUGAAUACGUUAAAUCCACAAAAUAUUUUAGAUUUCUUUCUCUGCCACAGCUGCUACUAGAAACUGAUGCUGAAGCAUUUUAUGAUGUCUCAUUGAAUUCCUCUUGCAUUAGGACCAGUAUGUGUUGUUAUUAUUAGCUUUAUCUUGACUAAUUUAUAAGGUGAAUGCAGUUUUUCUAUAUCAAAGCAUGUAAAAUGCAAAAAAAGAAGUUCAGUGCAUUUUAGAACCUCCUUAAUUACUAACAUCUGAAGUCCUUUUUCUUAUAACUUGGGCUGCUUUCGUGGCAUUUUGCACAACUUGGAAAAGAUUCAGAUCUGCCAUUAGUUCUUACUCUGUAAUACAAUGAUGUACUGUGUAGGUUAUCCUUCAAAUGAAUUUUUAUUUGCAAUUUUCUUGUUUCUUUCUCCAGGAAAAAAGUUCAGCAGCAGAUACCAAGAAUAUAACUACUAGCCACAAUUGAAGAACUAGUUUUUCUUGUGUUUGUCCUUUAGAUGCUUAGGGAGGUUUUUUUCUGUUUUUUUUUUUUUUCCUUUUAAGAGAGGCCACUGAUGUCAAGAAUCUCUGGAAAUCAAACUGCCUACCCCUAUGUUCACUUUUCCUCUUAUUUUCUGGAGAGCCUUUCACAGCACAUGUGGUUUGUGUUGAUCCUGUUCUCCAAUCUGCAGUGAAACAAAGAUGCUUUGGGGCUAAAGAGCAAACAUGCUCAGCCUGGGCAAUGUGCAUGUGUACACACAAGCAUGGACCAGAUGUGAGCGGCUGAAACAGUAUUGGUGUUCAGGAUCAAAUGUGGAGAUGUUUUAUUGACACUAAGAAUAAAUAUAGACUUAUACAAAGGACUGCUGUUAAU
rnacentral:lncRNA from 1 species